GCCCCCACCUAGUCCAUUAUGGCACCAGAAUUUAACUCAGGAUCCUCCUUUUUCUUUUUCCUAAUGAGAGCUUGAGUACUUUCAAGAGAGACAUCAUUUGUUUACAUCUGUUGCUAUCUGUUGCUAGGAGAUUGCAUUUUACCUCUGUCAAGUACUUAUCUGGAAGAUGUGAAAUGAAAUUAUGUGCAUUUGCCAUCAUUGAUGCAUUCUCUAUUUGUUGGUCAUCUGCAUCCAUAUUUCCUACUUUAAGGUUGUCCUUGAUAGUGCCAGCAAACAGUGAUGGUUCCUGGGAAACUGCUCCAAUAUUUUGGCAUAGGCACUUCAAAUCAAGAUCUUUGAUGUUGUGGUUAUCUAUGAGAAUGACCCCUCAUAACAUGCAAUAUUACCCAAUUGUCAGCAACCUUUGUGCGCAAAUAAUGUAUGAGCAAUAGAAGCAUGAAACCAUGGGAAUAAUAAGGAGAGGAUAACAAAUUUCAGCUCAAGAGCAUGAGGAUAAAGGUUUCAGACCUUUUGAUGGAUCCUAGAAUCUCGCAACCAGGGAUAUGACUGUGCUUUUCCCACACCCGCUGCUACCAACUAACGCCACCGUCUUUCCUGCUGGAAUUGACAGCGUAAAACCUUGAAGAAUCAUUUUAUUUUCUCAGGAUGGGUGGCUCCAAUCAGUAGAAUGAAGGGAACUACAAACAAGGUGACCAGUGAAACUUCCCAACUGCAAAUGAAGGCAAUCAAGACUCCAGAAAAGAAUGUGGCGAAGCACGAAAGGAAGUGCCCCAGCUGCUAGCAAAA